UACAGAGGUCUCAAGCGUUGUUCGGAUUCAUUGGGCGUAAAGGGUGCGUAGGUGGCGCUGUAAGUCGGGUGUGAAAUUUCGGAGCUUAACUCCGAAACUGCAUUCGAUACUGCGGUGCUUGAGGACUGGAGAGGAGACUGGAAUUCAUGGUGUAGCAGUGAAAUGCGUAGAGAUCAUGAGGAAGACCAGUGGCGAAGGCGGGUCGCUGGGCCAUUCCUGACGCUGAGACGCGAAAGCUAGGGGAGCGAACAGG
rnacentral:rRNA from 1 species